GCUGAAUCCGACGUUUACUUACUCAAAUUUCGACAACUGCAGUCUCGAGCAUUGGGUAUGAUUCGCUCUCAUGUACUUUCUGUACUCAAAAGUGCGUCUUCUCAGGUUCAGUCAGCAAUCCGAAGCAAUAGUAGCAGCAAGGCAUCUCUUGCUGAGGGUGUAGAGGCAUCUGGUAUAUAUGUUCGUUUCAAGGCAACGACAAGUGAGGUACUGUUUCUUUCUUAGCGAUUCUUUUUUAUUAAGACUCCUGUUUGGUCAGUAAUGAUAUGUAAUUAAAUCUCCUCUGCUGUAGGUUCAUGCGGCCAGAAACUGCACAGGGCAUAUU